rnacentral:rRNA from 1 species
UACGGAGGGUGCAAGCAUUAAUCGGAUUUAUUGGGCGUAAAGGGCGCGUAGGCGGGGAGAUAAGUCAGAUGUGAAAUCCCGGGGCUCAACCUCGGAACUGCAUUUGAAACUGACUUUCUAGAGGAUAGGCGGAGAAAACGGAAUUCCACAAGUAGCGGUGAAAUGCGUAGAUAUGUGGAAGAACACCGGUGGCGAAGGCGGUUUUCUAGCUUAGACCUGACGCUGAGGCGCGAAAGCAAGGGGAUCAAACAGG